rnacentral:rRNA from 1 species
UACGACGUAUCAGAGUUUGAUCCUGGCUCAGGACGAACGCUGGCGGCAUGCCUAACACAUGCAAGUCGAACGGAGUUCUUUUAUUGGAUCCCCUCGGGGUGAGGAUACUAGAACUUAGUGGCGGACGGGUGAGUAACGCGUGGGUAACCUGCCCUUUUGUGGGGAACAACUUCGAGAAAUUGAAGCUAAUACCGCAUACUCUUCUUUUAUCGCAUGAUAAGAGAAGGAAAGAUGGCUUCUGAACAUGCUAUCGCAAAAGGAUGGACCCGCGUCUGAUUAGCUAGUUGGAAGGGUAACGGCCUACCAAGGCGACGAUCAGUAGCCGGCCUGAGAGGGUGAACGGCCACAUUGGGACUGAGACACGGCCCAA